AUUUCGAUUUUUAUGGCCCCACUUAUGGGCUCCAGCAACAGCACCAACUCCAACUCCAGCUCCUGCCAAACCACCAGCUGAUCACAGUGGCUCAUAAAAACAGCUGACUCCAAUUAGCCACAUGGCACCGGUACCGGCAUCCUCAUCGGCAUCUCGGACUGGACUCUUCUCUCCGCACGCACAUGGUCAACUCGAAGUCCAGGCAGGAGAAUUCCCAUGCAGACUCUGGAGCGAUUAAGUUUAACGAGCCGGCAAUGAGGAGUUUUCGUUUGCGGAGAGCAUAGAAUGUGCAUGAAGAAAUGAAGGUGGAGCUCCGUAACAAAACAGGCCCCGGCGAGUGGUUCGUGUCAGAGUUCAAUUAAUUCAAUUAAGUGAUUGGGUCCUACUUAAGUGGAGUCUACUCCGGCGGCGUGUUGUCGUGAAUCCACUCGGAAAAGUGGGCCACGGAUGUGUAGACACUCGGGAUGCGCAGACCGCCGCAGUUAUCAGAUCCAAAGGACAUGAUGCCGAUCUGUGGGAUAAGUUACUUAAAGUUUUAGUUGCAGAUAAAUAUAUAAAGUUUUCCGGCACUAGAUAGCAGUAAAUUACGAUUUAUUGAACGGAUUGUAGAUCGAAUGCAU